rnacentral:rRNA from 1 species
GAAUGGAUUAGUGGCGAACGGGUGAGGAACACGUGAGAAACCUGCCUUUCAUUCUGGGAUAACGCCGGGAAACCGGUGCUAAUACCGGAUACUCCAUCUUGGGCAUCGCCGAGCUGGGAAAAAAUUUUGAUGAAAGAUGGUCUCGCGGCCUAUCAGCUAGUUGGUGAGGUAAAGGCUCACCAAGGCGACGACGGGUAGCCGGCCUGAGAGGGCGACCGGCCACACUGGGACUGAGACACGGCCCAGACUCC